GACAGCCUCACCUGGUGGCCCCACCUAGGAGAGAUUCCCCACAUUUCCGAUCCCCGCCGUACGCCGCCGCCGCACAUCUCCACCUCCCCCGCACCGGCGACAACCUGCGCGACCAGGCGACCCUCCCGGCAGCCCGCAUCUCAGACGCCCCCACCAAACCCACCUCACUGGCGCAGCCCCAUCGACCCUAUUUCUUCCCCGCCGCCGCUUCCUCGCGCCUCCAUUUCCGCAUCCGUGCUGCUCGCCUUCCGGCAGCCCGUUGAAGAUGGCGGAAAGGCUCACCGGACGAUGAACCAGCCUUCGCUGCUCGUUCGCGUCGCGGCAUCAAUCAAGCCCAUCGACGGCCAACUCCUUGCCGUCCCCGGUCGCCACCAUGGAGGGCAAGGGUCCGAGCGACCCAAGGGAUGGGGACGCAGAUGCGUGGUCCUGACGGUCGGAGCGACUACGGCUCUGCACCCUUGGACUCCUUCGAUGGCCGCGCUUCCGCCGAACCAUAGAGGCCCCGCGACUGUUUCCAGAGGCGUCGUCCAUCCUCAAGGGUUCUGCGCUUCCCUGGACGAUCGGCCUGUCGUUGUCGCCGGCCCCACCUGGGAACGUGUGUGUUCGUUAAACCGGGUCGUCGAUCUCUCUGGUCUCAUCUGCUGAGGAAUAGACACGUGAAAAGGCAAGAAAAAAAGAACUCCUCGCAGCAAGGCGGUGCCGCUCUGCCCAUCGGGCAUCUCUAUCUUGCCUCUCCCGCGGCGAAGCACUGGACCGCCAGCGACUCGUUGUCCCUCGAGCAGAAGGAGGCGACGACCGCCGAGGAGGUGCGGGGGCUGCAGGAGGCUGCCACGGGAUUUACGGUGCGCAUGUACCACGGGAUUAAGUUGCUAAGUUGCUUUAUUAUCUGUUCAGGUUCAUCCGAGUGUUAUUUUUUUCUAAGUUGCGGCAUACAAUAGUUUGUUGGUUCGCACAUGUGAUAAGUUGCUUUAUCAUCAACAACGUCUGGGGACCAUUGGAACUUCAGCCUUUUGUAUCAAAAUCUCCAAUAUACUAUACAGCUGCUUGUGUCUUUUGUUCUCCACUUUUGUUCUCCAGAGAAAAUGUUGUACAGUGGUACAUGUCAAGCGCGUCGCUACUCCCUGAUGCCAAUUAUUCAGAUAUUCAGGUAAAGUGCUUCCUUAUUGGUUGGCCUAGACCUGCUGCAGUUCAACAACAUCUUGGAUUAGAAAAGAUUCAGAGGUUUGGCUUUGAGUUGGGAGGAUUUUUUUUUCCUUUUUCAUGUACAAUAAUAUAACUUGAUUUGUUGAUUCUAUCCCAUGAAUCAAGUUGCUUAGAAACGUUUUUAAAGCUC